AAAGGUGAAAAGCACCCCGGAAGGGGAGUGAAAGAGAUCCUGAAACCGUGUGCCUACAAGUAGUCAGAGCCCGUUAACGGGUGAUGGCGUGCCUUUUGUAGAAUGAACCGGCGAGUUACGAUCCCGGGCAAGGUUAAGCAGAAGAUGCGGAGCCGCAGCGAAAGCGAGUCUGAAUAGGGCGAAUUGAGUACGUGGUCGUAGACCCGAAACCAGGUGAUCUACCCAUGUCCAGGGUGAAGUUCAGGUAACACUGAAUGGAGGCCCGAACCCACGCACGUUGAAAAGUGCGGGGAUGAGGUGUGGGUAGGGGU
rnacentral:rRNA from 1 species